AGCGUACACGGUGGAUGCCCUGGCAGUCAGAGGCGAUGAAGGGCGUGCUAAUCUGCGAUAAGCGCCGGUAAGGUGAUAUGAACCGUUAUAACCGGCGAUACCCGAAUGGGGAAACCCAGUGUGACUCGUCACACUAUCAUUAACUGAAUCCAUAGGUUAAUGAGGCGAACCGGGGGAACUGAAACAUCUAAGUACCCCGAGGAAAAGAAAUCAACCGAGAUUCCCCCAGUAGCGGCGAGCGAACGGGGAGGAGCCCAGAGCCUGAAUCAGCAUGUGUGUUAGUGGAAGCGUCUGGAAAGGCGCGCGAUACAGGGUGACAGCCCCGUACACAAAAGCGCAUGUGCUGUGAGCUCGAUGAGUAGGGCGGGACACGUGGUAUCCUGUCUGAAUAUGGGGGGACCAUCCUCCAAGGCUAAAUACUCCUGACUGACCGAUAGUGAACCAGUACCGUGAGGGAAAGGCGAAAAGAACCCCGGCGAGGGGAGUGAAAAAGAACCUGAAACCGUGUACGUACAAGCAGUGGGAGCACAGGUUUACCUGUGUGACUGCGUACCUUUUGUAUAAUGGGUCAGCGACUUAUAUUCUGUAGCAAGGUUAACCGAAUAGGGGAGCCGGAGGGAAACCGAGUCUUAAUUGGGCGUUAAGUUGCAGGGUAUAGACCCGAAACCCGGUGAUCUAGCCAUGGGCAGGUUGAAGGUUGGGUAACACUAACUGGAGGACCGAACCGACUAAUGUUGAAAAAUUAGCGGAUGACCUGUGGCUGGGGGUGAAAGGCCAAUCAAACCGGGAGAUAGCUGGUUCUCCCCGAAAGCUAUUUAGGUAGCGCCUCGUGAAUUCAUCUCCGGGGGUAGAGCACUGUUUCGGCUAGGGGGCCAUCCCGGCUUACCAACCCGAUGCAAACUGCGAAUACCGGAGAAUGUUAUCACGGGAGACACACGGCGGGUGCUAACGUCCGUCGUGAAGAGGGAAACAACCCAGACCGCCAGCUAAGGUCCCAAAGUCAUGGUUAAGUGGGAAACGAUGUGGGAAGGCCCAGACAGCCAGGAUGUUGGCUUAGAAGCAGCCAUCAUUUAAAGAAAGCGUAAUAGCUCACUGGUCGAGUCGGCCUGCGCGGAAGAUGUAACGGGGCUAAACCAUGCACCGAAGCUGCGGCAGCGACGCUGAUGCGUUGUUGGGUAGGGGAGCGUUCUGUAAGCCUGCGAAGGUGGCCUGUGAGGGUUGCUGGAGGUAUCAGAAGUGCGAAUGCUGACAUAAGUAACGAUAAAGCGGGUGAAAAGCCCGCUCGCCGGAAGACCAAGGGUUCCUGUCCAACGUUAAUCGGGGCAGGGUGAGUCGACCCCUAAGGCGAGGCCGAAAGGCGUAGUCGAUGGGAAACGGGUUAAUAUUCCCGUACUUGGUGUUACUGCGAAGGGGGGACGGAGAAGGCUAUGUUGGCCGGGCGACGGUUGUCCCGGUUUAAGCGUGUAGGUGUGUGUUCCAGGUAAAUCCGGUUCACUUUAACACUGAGGCGUGAUGACGAGGCACUACGGUGCUGAAGCAACAAAUGCCCUGCUUCCAGGAAAAGCCUCUAAGCAUCAGGUAACAUCAAAUCGUACCCCAAACCGACACAGGUGGUCAGGUAGAGAAUACCAAGGCGCUUGAGAGAACUCGGGUGAAGGAACUAGGCAAAAUGGUGCCGUAACUUCGGGAGAAGGCACGCUGACACGUAGGUGAAGUGAUUUACUCAUGGAGCUGAAGUCAGUCGAAGAUACCAGCUGGCUGCAACUGUUUAUUAAAAACACAGCACUGUGCAAACACGAAAGUGGACGUAUACGGUGUGACGCCUGCCCGGUGCCGGAAGGUUAAUUGAUGGGGUCAGCGCAAGCGAAGCUCCUGAUCGAAGCCCCGGUAAACGGCGGCCGUAACUAUAACGGUCCUAAGGUAGCGAAAUUCCUUGUCGGGUAAGUUCCGACCUGCACGAAUGGCGUAAUGAUGGCCAGGCUGUCUCCACCCGAGACUCAGUGAAAUUGAACUCGCUGUGAAGAUGCAGUGUACCCGCGGCAAGACGGAAAGACCCCGUGAACCUUUACUAUAGCUUGACACUGAACAUUGAGCCUUGAUGUGUAGGAUAGGUGGGAGGCUUUGAAGUGUGGACGCCAGUCUGCAUGGAGCCGACCUUGAAAUACCACCCUUUAAUGUUUGAUGUUCUAACGUGGACCCGUGAUCCGGGUUGCGGACAGUGUCUGGUGGGUAGUUUGACUGGGGCGGUCUCCUCCUAAAGAGUAACGGAGGAGCACGAAGGUUGGCUAAUCCUGGUCGGACAUCAGGAGGUUAGUGCAAUGGCAUAAGCCAGCUUGACUGCGAGCGUGACGGCGCGAGCAGGUGCGAAAGCAGGUCAUAGUGAUCCGGUGGUUCUGAAUGGAAGGGCCAUCGCUCAACGGAUAAAAGGUACUCCGGGGAUAACAGGCUGAUACCGCCCAAGAGUUCAUAUCGACGGCGGUGUUUGGCACCUCGAUGUCGGCUCAUCACAUCCUGGGGCUGAAGUAGGUCCCAAGGGUAUGGCUGUUCGCCAUUUAAAGUGGUACGCGAGCUGGGUUUAGAACGUCGUGAGACAGUUCGGUCCCUAUCUGCCGUGGGCGCUGGAGAACUGAGGGGGGCUGCUCCUAGUACGAGAGGACCGGAGUGGACGCAUCACUGGUGUUCGGGUUGUCAUGCCAAUGGCACUGCCCGGUAGCUAAAUGCGGAAGAGAUAAGUGCUGAAAGCAUCUAAGCACGAAACUUGCCCCGAGAUGAGUUCU
rnacentral:rRNA from 1 species